GAAACAAAAAAAGGAAAGGAGAAAGAGGAGAGGAAAAAGAGAAAGAAGAUGAGAAAAGAAGGAGAAGAAAGAAGAAUAGGAGAGGGAGAAUUGUACAACAGUCUUUCAUACUGUUGUAUACUCAACCGGCUGCUGUUAUUCAGCCAUGGAGGCUACUGAUCUGAAUGCAUGCAAGUGUGUACCUCUCUCCACUUCAAGAAGGUGUUGCUUAAGUCAUAGUUCAGCUAGAGUUUGAAGUGGACUGUUGAUUUAGUUGCAUGCAUGCAUCAAGAACACAAGAAGGAAUCUUAUAAUUACAGUUAUUGAGGAUAUGCGAGGCUAAGACAUUGGUGAAGGAGUUCAAACAUAAGAUUUCAGGUAUUGAAGCUAAAGCAGAAGUGAGCUAGUGAUUAAUUGGAGAUGAAGAAAGAUCAAGGAGUGAUUAAAGACAAGAAUUUGAUACUUUGUGUUAUAUAUUGUAAAUUAAAUAUAAGUGGUAUAAUGAAUUUUACUAUAACUUGUGGGGGAUGUAAUUAAAUGGGCCUAUAUUAUUAUUAUAAGGUUAUCAUUAUAGCUGAUCACCACAUAUAUAUCAUGACUUUUAUGGAAUUUUACAUAUUCUUUGAUUUUAUAGUUGAA